CCCGCAGCUGCUCCUUGAGCCACAUCUGAGUCCUCACUGCCGGCUGUAUGGGAGCUCCGCUCACAGCCUGCUGUCCCAGUGUCGCGUAUCUCUGGCCAAAAGCUUCGCAGCCGCCCGCCGCAGGUUUGCUUUCAGGAAAAGACUCUCAGUGAAAGCAGGGAUGGAAAUGCACAGAAGAAAUGCAUCUCCUCUUGUACAGCUCUUAACUGCACGGACCCCAGCAACAGACCACAAACAAUUCCAGCAUCCAGCAUAGGACUGAAGGAGCCAUGGGUCUUCCAUCUACCAAGCAAGCAUAUGGGUGCUUCCCACAAAUCUCCAAAACAGCUGUUUUCAACAACAGAAGUGUCUAACUCUCCUGUGAGUUGGUUGAAACACAAAGACAUUGGGAUGAUGUGCCAGCAUCAAUAGUACUGAUGCUACAUGUGUGUUCCUCCCCGCCUGGACAAGCCUUAAUGCAACAGAGAUAAUCAGAUGAGCCAAACGAGACAUUUCAAAGUGGCCAGGCAGGAGGCCAGUUCUUGUAAAAAGUCCUAAGCAGACUGACUCAUCAUCCUCUGGAAGCAAAAGGAUGCCUUUCCAGGGUGCAGCAGCACUCACAGGAACGGUUUGGGCUUGGUUGAUUUGUUGGGGAUUUUUUGUUUGUGUUUUUUUUUUUUUUUUUUUUUAUUGUACUGUCUAGAAUUGUUCAUCAUUCUUUUUACAGGCCUUUUUCAUAUUACUUCACAUUUACUAUGUCAAAAUAUGAGGUGAAUGAAGGAAGGAAUCUCUGCAAAUAACUCUCUUCCGAAGAAUAAAUAAGAACACGUAUCACAGAAAGCUGUAGCAGAAAAGCAGACAUUUAACAAGUUUUGUAUGAGAAAGAAUACCUAAACAUUAUUUGUUUAUAGAGUUCUGUGUUUGAACAGCAAGGAACUAAUAUAAAAGAAUAACUAACAAAAAACUUACUAGAGAAAAAAUGUAAUACUACCUAAAGUUAAUUUUAAAUAGUAUUAUAUGCUAAAAUACUUACUGCCAGUAAAAUGUCUAUGCCUUCAAAGCAGAAACAGUCAUGUGGUGUUUAGAAGCAAGUCCAAUAAAUGUCAAUUGGAAAAAAGAAGGAAGUUCACUGCCUUCCACCAUCACCAUCACUGUACUGCCAGUAUCAAUCAGAAUUCUUUUACGUAAGAUGUGGGUUGCAAACUCCAAGUCAGUUCUACUUUGUUUCACAUUAAUUGUAUGGGAUUUUCUGUAAUCUACUGUGUUGCAUACCAAAGGAAUGCAAGCUGCACCUAAAAACUGGCUAGUUUUAAAAGGUGAAGGAAUUUAAAAGCUACAUAAUUCACAAAUAAUUUGAAUGGUACAAUGCUGAAUUAUAUGCGAACUUAGAAGGUUGCAGUUGAGACAGGAUCUUCCAAAACUGAAGCAAUUUUGUCGCUUCUAGGACUUUGUUUCAGAAGAAAUACUGGUAAAGCUACUAUCUCUCAGCAAUGUUAUUAUAGAGAGAUGGAAGAAGGAAUAAAUGGUAGGACAGCCUCACAGGCCUCCUACAAUGCACAGAUAUCAAAAAAUACUACAAGGCAAUUUAAAAGGAUUUUUAGUAAGUAGAGCAGAAAGCCAUGCUGGAAAGAGUAAAAGCUGCACUCAUAAGUACCAGGAUUGCAUCCACACUUAUGCAAGGAAAGAAUUGCAGAGAUAACAAUGAAUUCCAGCAAAUGGCAAACAGCUUCUUAGAUAUCCUUAUAAACAAAGGGAAUGCUAUGUACAGAUGAAUACUUGAACAGAAACUUGCUUAACAUAUCCCAUCUAAUUUAUUAAGACCUGGCCAUUUGGUGUCCAUCUUCCUUAUCCUCCUCCUCUACAGGAAAUGAAUUUGCUUUUCCCCCAGUUGUGACUUCUCAUUCUUUUCCACACCCUUGAGGCAAACACACCUUCUCCCUUGUUUGACAGAGAGGUGAUAGGGUAACAUCAUUCUCUGAGUAAGUAAUGAGGACAACACUCUCAAUUUGCAAACAAUACAAAAAAAGGGCGAGUGAGAAAAAAAAAUGUUCUAAAAUUUAUUAAAGCUUAACAAAGAAACUGUCACUGAACAAGAGAAAAUUAUACCUCCUCACUGAGCAAAUGAAAAAUACUUACUCAAAGAAAAUAACUUAUAUUUCCCUGCUUUCACAUUAGUCACAUCCUGUUUUCGUCUUACCACAUAAAAAGUUGCCUUGCUUCACUUAGAUUUACCUGAAAACCCAGUGUUUUCCCUAGCACACAGUACUGACAAGGAACAUGCCUUAUAGGAGCUACUACUUUGUAUUAAGCUGUCGUAUUUCUGGUACUGAAAUACUCUUUCACAAAUCCGCUCUUUGAUGAAGUCUCAUUAGGGCACAGCCAACACUCAUCAGCUUUGAUUUAUUUAAAGAGUGUUGUCCCAUGCUAGAGAGGUCAUCCUUGCACCUUAACAUCAGGUUCCCACCACGCCUUCCGAGGUAGCAGAACUGGCAAAAACCUCAUUAGCAAAGUUCUAAAGAUUCUAGCAGCAAGAACACACAACUAAGUAACACAGUGGGCCACACCUUCAUAUGAUCUCACCUUGGCUACAGGUCAAUCUCUGCAUCCCACAUCCCAUUUCAAGAAUCGAAGCUCUUAAUUCCAUCACUUAAUUUAGAUGACAAGAGGCAAUCUAAGCAUCUUCCCAUAGAAUUGCACAGGGGAAAUCAAAAGAAAAUCAGCUCCAAAAUGAAGCACACAGAGAUAUAACAUUUUCUGAUCCUACAUGAUCAGUUGAAAAAACACUACACAGGAGACAAGCUCUGAAGAAAGUGUUAGUUUACUCCUAUGUGCCACUGCAGUCAGAUUUGAGGGCAAAGUUCUCAAUACUAACUGACAUUAAAAUACAUUUGGUAGAACGAUCUGUCAUCCAAAACAUUCCUCAUUAAAAGUUAAUACACAUUUCCCUGACUUAUAUAGCUGGUUUGGGUUUUGAUUUUUUUUGUUCAAGAAAAUAUUGGGUAAAAUGAUCCACAUUCUGUUUUAAAGUAAACCUCCUUAAACUAGCUGUUUGACAUACCAAUUA